UGUUCGCACCUUUGUUGUCAUGUGCACAUGCUUGACCCUUGCUCGGUGUGUCCUUGUGUCCUUGCAUGAUUCUAUUUGAAGGUUUGGUUUUCUGGAAAUGCACCUCUUUCAUAACAAAAUAAUUAGUUCUUGUAGUUGGAAAUAGUUCAUCUAGUUACUGCAAUUAAAUGGACAACUCACUUUGCUAUCAAUUCUUAACUACUGGCAACUCAUUCUGCAAUUGCUGCACGAGACUCCCAGAGGUGGCAUGGACAACUGCAUAUACAGAAGGAAGGGGAAGGCAAGGAGGCGAAGAUGUGCCAAUCUACUUUGGAGGAUUGACAGUGGAGAGAGUCAGCAGCUUUAAAUUCCAGGGCAUUAACACAUCUGAUGACCUAUCCUGGAACCAUCAUAUAGAUGCAAUCACAAGAGUGCCAGCGUCUUUAUGUUCUUAGAAGGUUGAGGAGGUUUGGCUUGUCACUGAACUCUCUAACAAACUUCUUUUGAAAGUAUCCUGACUGGUUGUAUCAUGGUCUGGUACAGCAACUUUGAACAUAAGAAGCUGCAGUGAGCAGGGGACUCUGCCCAAUGAAGGCUCUCCCCCACCAUUGAUAAUAUCUACACAAGGGAAUGUCCAUCCUCCAAGAUCCCUACCAUCCAGGCCAUGCCAUCUUCUUGCAGCUACCAUUUGGCAGGAGGUACAAAAUCCUGAAGUCCUACACCAGAUUCAAGAAAGCUACUUCCCUUCAACCAUUCAGUUCUUGAACCAACCAGCAAAAUCUUAACCACUACAGUUUAGCAACACUAUGACUACUGUGCACUAAGUUGUUUUGCUGUUGUGCUAAUUGUGUUCUUUCUUGUAAAAGAUGUAUAAUUUAUGUCAAUUUAUAUAUUUUUUGUGAAUGCUGCUUAUAGGAUGCUAUGUGGUUGUGAUACUGCUGCAAGUAAGUUUUUCGUUGAACCUGUGCCUGAUGUUCUGAUCCAUAAGACAAUAAACUUGAUUUUGAUGGUUGAACUUUGUCAAAUUCAGCAAUGGAUCCACAUUGGGUUAAAACAUUUUUCUGCCUAAGCCAAGGUUAUGAACAGUUGCCCAAGAUUUAAGGUAACUAACCCAUUAAAAGGAAAUUAACUUCGAAAGAAAUGAUGAAAUGACUUCAUAUAUAGAAAUUGAAAAGUUUCAGGGUGUUAUUCCCCCCCAGAAAAAUUUUGAAAUUUAAAACAAAGAUGCUGGCUCAGAUUGGCUAUUUGUUUGCAGGAUUGUAGGCAACCAAUCGGAGCAAGUUGGACCAAUGUAAGCACGAGGACUCAGCAGAAACAACACUCUUUUGCACACUGAUGAUAUCACUUUGACUAGUGAAGAAACGUUUGCAAUCUAACCUCUAGGCUGAGCGAACAACCCUACAAACAAAAUACAUUUUAAAUAUUCUGUACUCUGUAAGAAUCAGCAAUAUCACACAUAACUGAGAUUGCCAAAUGCACUUACAUAUAACUUUUGUUAAUUCACUAGAUACUUAAGUAUCUCUAAACUCAAAUUAAGGCUGCUGGUUUCAGACUGAUUUAUUUUCAUGUAUCACAGAACUUCUACUCAGUGUUAAUUUUGAGCUGUUAACUUGUAUCGACUGAAUCUGUUAUUUCCAGUGCUCUCUAGUAUCGAGGUAACCUUGCCUUCUAUCGAUGAAAUUGUUUUUGACGCUUUUUGUCAUUUAUAAUAUUGUAUUUUGGUUAGACAUUUCAAAGAUCAAAGUUUGUUUUAGAUGGGAAGAUAUCAAAAUUUCGGAGGACAACUGAGUUAAUAAAUCUCUGGACAUCCUUUAGUAAUGCCAGUGAGUGUAUGCAAGGAAGAAAACAACUGGGAUUUAUACCUCAUUUUUCAUACUAUACAGGAAUAUUAUCAAACAAAACUUGGCACCAAAUUAUAUUAGGGAGUUGUAGGGAUGAUGAUAGAGCUAUAGAAUUGCCAGAUUUAAAGAUAACAGAUGAAGGCUUAGCACCAGAGGAGUUAAGGAAGAUGAAGAGACAUUGUAUGUUGAGGCAAUUUAGAAAGUAUUUCAAAUCAUUUAAGAUGCUAAAGUCUGCACUCGACUGUUCAGCAUCAAUGAGACAAUAAUCCAUUUGUAGAUGGGGUAUAUCUCUCAAGAAGAAGUUUUGUAUUAGGGACUAAAGACGAUCAGUGGUCAGAAGUAGUUUACUCCUACCCAAGUCUACAUUUGGACAAGGAACAGAGUUAGAGACAGUGGUGAAGGAAAAGCAGUGAAGUUGCAUGCCAGAUAAGCAAGGAAAACAGAAUUUUCUAUUUGGCCCUUUGUAAAUCUUCAAAUAUGUUGAGACCAGUGCAUUUUCCGUGAUAGUGAUAACCAACCACCUGAAUGGAAAAACUCAGCCUUUCAAGAGAUCUUGGUCAUAGAAGCAAAGUGCUCGGCUGCUCAAAGAUGACAGCAACAUUUUCCAAGAACUCUGUUUUUCCGUGCCUGGUUAAGUAUAAUUUCAGGCACACAUAGAAUUAUCAAUAUUUGGAAACUUCCUGGCUGAUGGCAAAAUGGCAGUUACUGACAGGAAAGGAGUGAUGCACAUACAAAAGAUACAGAGAUUUAAUGUGCCAUAUAAGAAAUAAACUGCCCCACUGAUUAACUAUUUAUUUAGUUGUUUGUUUAGAGAUAUAGCACAGAAUAGCCUUUCCAGUCCAAGUCACACUGCCCACCAAUCUACCUGUUUAACCCUAAUCUAAUCAUAGAACAAUUUAAAAUGAACAAUUAGCCUACUAAUCAAUAUGCCUUUAGAAUGUGGGAGGAAACCCACAUGUUCACAGGAAAAAUGUACAAACUCCACACAGGCAACAUUGGAAUUCAACUCCGAACUCUGCCACCUUGAGUUGUAAUAGUGUUGAGCUAACUGCUGUUCUGCUGUUGCACCCCCAAUUCUAUGCCAGUUCUCUGUGGAUUAAUCUAGUUGGCCCAAUUCCCUUGAACUAGCCCCAUCACCUACAAAUUCAUUUUCCCCAAACCUCUAUCCAAUCUCUACAACUCCCAUAGUCAGUGAGUUCCAGGUCAUUACCACUUGUUGCAAAAAUAUAUUUCUUUCUCAUAAACUCUCUAUACACCUUGCUAAAAACCCAAAGUCCAUGUCCAUCGUCUUUGUAGCAUCAAUUAAUGGAAAGCACUUUUCAUCAUUUUUCUAUCUAUUGUGCUUAUAAUUUUGCACACCCCUAUCAAAUCUGUUUCAUUCCAAGGAGAAAUUAUUGUCUUUGUAACCAAACCAUGAAGCUAAAACCCCUCAUUCUUGAAAAUAUUCUGGCAAUUUUUCUGUUCAUUACCUUGUGGACCUUAAUAUUCUUUUUAGACUAACUAGAACUGGAAAGAAUAUUCUAAAUAUGCCCUAACUAUUGCAUAUUUACAAAACCAAAAAUUUUUAUAUGCUUUUCUACUGACCCAGUUUGUGCUGUCACUUUCAAUGGUCUAUGCAAAUAAGUUAAAUAAAUUUGAUCCUGGACAAACUUAUGAACUGUGCCAUUGCUUGUUAUGGUUCUUUCCCAGCCUUGUGUCAAAACACAUUGCUUUGUACUUCUUGUAUUAGAUUCCUUUUGCAGUUGCUUGCCCAUUCUGCCAGUACAUGUGUCACAAUGCACUUGAAGCAAGUUUGGUUUCAUCUGCAGAUUUUAAAAUCCUGUUCUGUAUUGCAAUAUCUAAAUAAACUCUGCAAAUCCAAA